UUUAUGGAGAGUUUGAUCCUGGCUCAGGAUGAACGCUGGCGGCGUGCCUAAUACAUGCAAGUCGAGCGAAUGGACGAGAAGCUUGCUUCUCUGAUGUUAGCGGCGGACGGGUGAGUAACACGUGGAUAACCUGCCUAUAAGACUGGGAUAACUUCGGGAAACCGGAGCUAAUACCGGAUAAUAUUUUGAACCGCAUGGUUCAAAAGUGAAAGACGGUCUUGCUG
rnacentral:rRNA from 1 species